rnacentral:rRNA from 1 species
GCUUCGACUUCCUUGACGUUAACGGCGAAAGGCCGAGAAACACGUAAGGAAUCUAGCAGCAAGGGGGGGAUAACAUUCUCGAAGACGUGCUAAUACCGCAUAAUAUCUUCUUCCGCAUGGAAUAGAUUGAAAGACGGCUCUGCUGUCUCUUAUAGAUGACCUUGCGGGGCAUUAGGUAGUUGGUGGGGUAACUUCCUACCAAGACGAUGAUGCAUAGCCGACCUGAUAGGGUGAUCGGCCACAUUGGGACUGAGACACGG